rnacentral:rRNA from 1 species
GAUGAACGCUAGCGGGAGGCCUAAUACAUGCAAGUCGAGCGGUAGAGUGACUUCGGUUGCUUGAGAGCGGCGAACGGGUGAGUAACGCGUACACAAUCUACCUUUAAGAGGGGAAUAGCCCUGGGAAACUGGGAUUAAUGCCCCAUGGCAUCACGAAGUGGCAUCGCUUUGUGAUUAAAGCUGAGGUGCUUAGAGAUGGGUGUGCGUCUGAUUAGCUAGUUGGUGCGGUAACGGCGCACCAAGGCGACGAUCAGUAGGGGCGUGAGAGCGUGGACCCCCCAACGGGUACUGAGACACGGACCCGAUCCUACGGGAGGCAGCAGUAAGGAAUAUGGUCAAUGGAGGAAACUCUGAACCAGCCAUCCCGCGUGCAGGAAGAAUGCCCUAUGGGUUGUAAACUGCUUUUAUCUGGGAAGAAAAGUCGGCAUUUAUGCUGAUCUGACGGUACCA